rnacentral:sRNA from 1 species
GGACGGAUGCCGCCGAGUCGCCCUCCGGGCGAGCCGGGGACCCACCGCACCACUGGGGUGAAUCCCGCACGCCGGACGCCGUCCGGCCGCGGGUAGGGCUGCUUCCCGCCCGAACCCGUCAGCUGACCCGGUAGGCGGCCAUCGGGAGAAACG